rnacentral:ncRNA from 2 species
UACUCAUAUUUAGCGCCAGAACCAUAGUGGUUGACGAGGUUAACAGUUAUCGAUUUUUCGGCGGGUGCUGUUACGGAUAAGUAGUUCGUUAGAAGUAUUACAAAAAGUAAAAUCAAUAUUACAACAAAAUAUACUUCAUACUAAAUU